AUACGGAGGGUGCAAGCGUUACUCGGAAUCACUGGGCGUAAAGCGCGCGCAGGCGGUCUUUUAAGUUGGAUGUGAAAGCCUACAGCUCAACUGUAGAACUGCAUCCAAAACUAUUAGACUAGAGUCUGGGAGGGGAAGAUGGAAUUAGUUGUGUAGGAGUAAAAUCCGUAGAGAUAACUAGGAAUACCAAAAGCGAAGGCGAUCUUCUGGAACAGUACUGACGCUGAGGCGCGAAAGCGUGGGGAGCAAACAGGAUUAGAAACCCGAGUAGUCC
rnacentral:rRNA from 1 species